GUAGGGUGCGAGCGUUAUCCGGAAUCAUUGGGCGUAAAGAGCUCGUAGGCGGUUCAGCAAGUCGGCUGUGAAAUUCCGAGGCUCAACCUCGGAACUGCAGUCGAUACUGCUGUGACUCGAGUCCGGUAGAGGAGAAUGGAAUUCAGGGUGUAGCGGUGAAAUGCGCAGAUAUCCUGAGGAACACCAGUAGCGAAGGCGGUUCUCUGGGCCGGUACUGACGCUGAGGAGCGAAAGCGUGGGUAGCAAACAGGAUUAGAUACCCUGGUAGUCCCACGCCGUAAACGUUGGACACUAGGUGUGGCGUUCCGACCAACGGGUGCCGUGCCGAAGCUAACGCAUUAAGUGUCCCCGCCUGGGAGUACGGCCGCAAGGCUA
rnacentral:rRNA from 1 species